rnacentral:rRNA from 1 species
AUGAACGCUAGCUACAGGCUUAACACAUGCAAGUCGAGGGGCAGCAUGGUCUUAGCUUGCUAAGGCCGAUGGCGACCGGCGCACGGGUGAGUAACACGUAUCCAACCUGCCGUCUACUCUUGGACAGCCUUCUGAAAGGAAGAUUAAUACAAGAUGGCAUCAUGAGUCCGCAUGUUCACAUGAUUAAAGGUAUUCCGGUAGACGAUGGGGAUGCGUUCCAUUAGAUAGUAGGCGGGGUAACGGCCCACCUAGUCUUCGAUGGAUAGGGGUUCUGAGAGGAAGGUCCCCCACAUUGGAACUGAGACACGGUCCAAACUCCUACGGGAGGCAGCAGUGAGGAAUAUUGGUCAAUGGGCGAGAGCCUGAACCAGCCAAGUAGCGUGAAGGAUGACUGCCCUAUGGGUUGUAAACUUCUUUUAUAAAGGAAUAAAGUCGGGUAUGGAUACCCGUUUGCAUGUACUUUAUGAAUAAGGAUCGGCUAACUCCGUGCCAGCAGCCGCGGUAAUACGGAGGAUCCGAGCGUUAUCCGGAUUUAUUGGGUUUAAAGGGAGCGUAGAUGGAUGUUUAAGUCAGUUGUGAAAGUUUGCGGCUCAACCGUAAAAUUGCAGUUGAUACUGGAUAUCUUGAGUGCAGUUGAGGCAGGCGGAAUUCGUGGUGUAGCGGUGAAAUGCUUAGAUAUCACGAAGAACUCCGAUUGCGAAGGCAGCCUGCUAAGCUGCAACUGACAUUGAGGCUCGAAAGUGUGGGUAUCAAACAGGAUUAGAUACCCUGGUAGUCCACACGGUAAACGAUGAAUACUCGCUGUUUGCGAUAUACUGCAAGCGGCCAAGCGAAAGCGUUAAGUAUUCCACCUGGGGAGUACGCCGGCAACGGUGAAACUCAAAGGAAUUGACGGGGGCCCGCACAAGCGGAGGAACAUGUGGUUUAAUUCGAUGAUACGCGAGGAACCUUACCCGGGCUUAAAUUGCAGAUGAAUUACGGUGAAAGCCGUAAGCCGCAAGGCAUCUGUGAAGGUGCUGCAUGGUUGUCGUCAGCUCGUGCCGUGAGGUGUCGGCUUAAGUGCCAUAACGAGCGCAACCCUUGUUGUCAGUUACUAACAGGUUCCGCUGAGGACUCUGACAAGACUGCCAUCGUAAGAUGUGAGGAAGGUGGGGAUGACGUCAAAUCAGCACGGCCCUUACGUCCGGGGCUACACACGUGUUACAAUGGGGGGUACAGAGGGCCGCUACCACGCGAGUGGAUGCCAAUCCCCAAAACCUCUCUCAGUUCGGACUGGAGUCUGCAACCCGACUCCACGAAGCUGGAUUCGCUAGUAAUCGCGCAUCAGCCACGGCGCGGUGAAUACGUUCCCGGGCCUUGUACACACCGCCCGUCACACCAUGGGAGUGGGUUGCAAAAGAAGUAGGUAGCUUAACCUUCGGGAGGGCGCUUACCACUUUGUGAUUCAUGACUGGGGUG